UACCGAUAAUAUUCCAAUCGUUCGCCGA
rnacentral:sRNA from 1 species